UUGAAACACUGGUUUUUCUACGAUCACUGAAGUUAAGCAAAUUCGAGCUGGGUCAUUAGCUAGAUGGGUGACCGCUUGGGAAUACCAGGUACUGUAAG